GAUGAACGCUAGCUACAGGCUUAACACAUGCAAGUCGAGGGGUAACAAGAGGAAAGCUUGCUUUUCUUGUUGACGACCGGCGCACGGGUGAGUAACGCGUAUCCAACCUGCCUAUAACUAGGGAAUAACCUUGCGAAAGUAAGACUAAUUCCCUAUGAUUUCCUUUGAUGGCAUCAGAUUAGGAAUAAAGAUUUAUCGGUUAUAGAUGGGGAUGCGUCUGAUUAGCUUGUUGGCGGGGUAACGGCCCACCAAGGCAACGAUCAGUAGGGGUUCUGAGAGGAAGGUCCCCCACAUUGGAACUGAGACACGGUCCAAACUCCUACGGGAGGCGGCAGUGAGGAAUAUUGGUCAAUGGGCGGAAGCCUGAACCAGCCAAGUAGCGUGCAGGAUGACGGCCCUAUGGGUUGUAAACUGCUUUUAUACAGGAAUAAAGUUAGCCACGUGUGGUUAUUUGUAGGUACUGUAUGAAUAAGGACCGGCUAAUUCCGUGCCAGCAGCCGCCGUAA
rnacentral:rRNA from 1 species